rnacentral:rRNA from 1 species
UACAGAGGGUGCGAGCGUUAAUCGGAAUUACUGGGCGUAAAGCGCACGUAGGUGGCGACGUAAGUCGGGUGUGAAAGCCCCGGGCUCAACCUGGGAAUUGCAUUCGAGACUGCAUUGCUGGAGUACGGAAGAGGCGAGUGGAAUUCCUGGUGUAGCGGUGAAAUGCGCAGAUAUCAGGAGGAACACCGAUGGCGAAGGCAGCUCGCUGGGACGGUACUGACGCUGAGGCGCGAAAGCGUGGGGAGCAAACAGG